UACGAAGGACCCGAGCGUUAUCCGGAUUUAUUGGGUUUAAAGGGUGCGUAGGCGGACACGCAAGUCAGUGGUGAAAUCUCCCAGCUUAACUGGGAAACUGCCAUUGAAACUAUGUGUCUUGAGUACAUUUGAGGCGGGCGGAAUGUGUCAUGUAGAGGUGAAAUUCUUAGAUAUGACACAGAACACCAAUUGCGAAGGCAGCUCGCUAAACUGUAACUGACGCUGAGGCACGAAAGCGUGGGGAUCAGACAGG
rnacentral:rRNA from 1 species